rnacentral:rRNA from 1 species
CAACUUUCAACAACGGAUCUCUUGGCUCUCGCAUCGAUNAANAACGCAGCGAAUUGCGAUAAGUAAUGUGAGUUGCAGAAUUACGUGAAUCAUCGAAUCUUUGAACGCAUAUUGCACUCUCUGGUAAUCCGGGGAGUAUGCCUGUUUGAGGGUCAGUA